CGAUUAGGUGAAAUUCCCUUAUACUCUAGCGUCAAAUUCAUGCAUGCGAACUAAGUAUGCAUCCUUAAUUAACAUACAUAAACAUGUUAUCAAUCAAAUAGAUAAGUAAACCACAUUCACGAUUCAUGAAAUCAUAACUGGAGGAAAUCAAGUCAUAUAAAACAUAUGAUCAUGGCUUUGAAUUCCCCUCUAACUUAUAAAGAAAUUAGUUCCUCAUGUUCGCAAAUAAACAAAGAUAAAUAAAUCUAAACAUUGACAUAAAGAUAGAAAACACCUAGAAACGCUCCAACAAUCCAAGCUCCUUGAAUGGCAUGCACGGCUCCAAGAGUCUCCUUCCUUCUCUUUUGCAAAUUCACGGCACACAAGGGAUGAUUGGGUGAAUGAUGUAGUGAAAAUCUGGGUGGUGAAUGAAUGGUGCGGCAUAAGGUGGUAUUUAUAGGCUGAAAAUCCCAACUCCUAGGUAGCAAAGGACAAGGUUUUAAAGGUCUAAUCUGCAUAGGACAAUAACAUACAAUCCUAUAAGGAAAACAAGUCAGAAAUCCAAAAAGGAAUGGGAGAUAAGGUGCGGCACAAAGGGUUGUUUCUAGAAAGAAAUACAAGGCAAAUUUUUAGGCUUCUAGAAAGGUUCUAGGCGCCAUCUUUGUAGGAGAAGAUUAGGUCUUCUAGAAAUCUGAUUUUAAGCCUCCUAAUCUAGUUAGAAACCCUCCCUUGCAGCUGAAAUAUGGGUAGUUUAGGAUUAGGAUAAGAUAGGAUAGGAUAAAGUUUGUUUGGAUAAGAUAAGCUAAGAUAAGGUUAUGGAUGAGGUUUUGGAUAAGAUUCCUUCACUUGAGCUGAUUCUUUGGCUUUAACUCUUCUUCUUCACGUAGGAAUACUUGCUUGAGUAGGAAACUUCAUACGUCUAGGAAUCCAUCUUCAAUUAGGACUCCUACAUUGAUUAGGAAUCCUUCUUCAUUUAGGAAUCCUACAUUUAAGCCCUUUCCUACUUCAACUAGGAAACUUUGUAUCUUCAAUUCUUCAACUUCAAAAAGACAUUCCUAGCUUCUUCAAUCCCUCAAAUUCGUCCAUCCUUUGUGCUUCACAUGCAUGAACUUCAUUCUAGCCCAGUUUUGCUCCAAAAUGCUCCAAAUUGCAUCCUUUUGCUUACUUUGUCCUUAAAACCUGAAAACACAUGAAAAUAGCUUAAAAGACUAACUUAACUAAGAAAACACAACAUAAAUGCAUAAGAACUAACUAACUAAGGCGCAUAAAUAUGCUCCUAUCAUGCGACGAGUGAAAUAUUGUAAUUAUAAAGUUUACAUAAACAUAGACAUCUAUGUUUACGUAAACUUUAUAAUUACAAACAAAUAUUCUGAAAAUAUUUAAUACCUUAAAUAUUUUUUCUAUAAAUAAUUAAUACUUUAAAUAUUAUUCUAUAAAUAAUUAAUACUUUAAAUAUUUAUUCUAUAAAUAAUUAAUGCCUUAAUCCAUACAAUUAUGUUUAGCAUAAGUACGAUAUUCAUUGAAGAUUGAAAACACAUAUAAACCGAGGAUAAGCUUCUUACAUUAGGUCUCAAUAAAAAAAUCCAACAAGAAUUGAAACCUAAUUAGGUCCAAAUACAUAGCUUAUAAAAAAAAUUAAAAAAAAAACCUUUAAUUUAAAUAUUGUCAUACAAAACAUAAAUUUAAAACUACUAUUUGGAUGGUCCUGGUCCAUUCCGCAAGACUUCAUAACGCCACCGAUUGUAACCUCCCUCCAACGCAGCAUCCAUCAACUUCAUCGAUUGUUCGUUCAUCAUCAUCAAAAGUAUACUUACACUGUUACACAUAUAUGCAAAUAAUUAAUUCCAACAAAUAACUAAAAAUUUCACAAACAUAAUUAUUGAUCCAUCAACAAUAUAGUUACUAAUAGUUCAUCCAUCACAACCUUCUUCACAUUCCCAGGCACAUCUUCCCAAAAAUGCCACUUAACAGUGGGAGAAUUAUUCCCCAUGGCUACAGCAAUCACAUGCUCAAACUCAAAAUGAUCCCUCAAAUCAUGCGGGUUGGCAUCACUCACACUCUCAUCCUUAUUUUUAUCCGCCAACCCAGCAUGAAAGGAGAACAGAAUUGUGAAGAAAAAUGACAGCAGAAGCGCAUAUUUAUAGGAAAGUUUGGAUCUUUGAGCGACGAAGGCUUUGUCACACAAACAUCUGUAUUAAAUGCUGUAUUGAUUCCUCUGAUUCACAUGCAGUAAAUGGUCAAAACUGACAGGAACUUGCGCGACGAAUAAUUGGUUGUGCAAAGGCCCCCUUUUCGUCGCGCAAGUUUUUCGUGCCAAAAAAAUUUACCUUGUGUUUUCUUUCUAACUUUACGCGACAACGAUGGUUUGUUGUUGCGCUUAGUAUUCUUGAGAG
rnacentral:lncRNA from 1 species